UUGGUUAAGUUAGAAAGGGCGCACGGUGGAUGCCUUGGCACUAGGAGCCGAAGAAGGACGGGACUAACACCGAUAUGCUUUGGGGAGCUGUACGUAAGCGUUGAUCCAGAGAUUUCCGAAUGGGGGAACCCACUAUCUUUAGUCGGAUAGUAUCCUUACGUGAAUACAUAGCGUGAGGAAGGCAGACCCAGGGAACUGAAACAUCUAAGUACCUGGAGGAAGAGAAAGAAAAAUCGAUUUCCUGAGUAGCGGCGAGCGAAACGGAAAGAGCCCAAACCAAGAAGCUUGCUUCUUGGGGUUGUAGGACACUCUAUACGGAGUUACAAAAGAAAGUUAUAAAUGAAGCGGUCUGGAAAGGCCCGCCAAAGACGGUAACAGCCCGGUAGUUGAAAUGGCUUUCCCUCCAGAGUGGAUCCUGAGUACGGCGGAACACGUGAAAUUCCGUCGGAAUCCGGGAGGACCAUCUCCCAAGGCUAAAUACUCCCUAGUGACCGAUAGUGAACCAGUACCGUGAGGGAAAGGUGAAAAGCACCCCGGAAGGGGAGUGAAACAGUUCCUGAAACCGUGUGCCUACAAGUAGUUAGAGCCCGUUAAUGGGUGAUAGCGUGCCUUUUGUAGAAUGAACCGGCGAGUUACGAUUUGUUGCAAGGUUAAGCGGAAAAAGCGGAGCCGUAGCGAAAGCGAGUCUGAAUAGGGCGCAUAAGUAACAGGUCGUAGACCCGAAACCAGGUGAUCUACCCAUGUCCAGGAUGAAGGUAAGGUAAUACUUACUGGAGGUCCGAACCCACGCACGUUGAAAAGUGCGGGGAUGAGGUGUGGGUAGCGGAGAAAUUCCAAUCGAACUUGGAGAUAGCUGGUUCUCUCCGAAAUAGCUUUAGGGCUAGCCUCGAGGUAAAGAGUCAUGGAGGUAGAGCACUGUUUGGACUAGGGGCCCUUCUCGGGUUACCGAAUUCAGAUAAACUCCGAAUGCCAUGUACUUAUACUCGGGAGUCAGACUGCGAGUGAUAAGAUCCGUAGUCGAAAGGGAAACAGCCCAGACCACCAGUUAAGGUCCCCAAAUAUAUGUUAAGUGGAAAAGGAUGUGGGGUUGCUUAGACAACCAGGAUGUUGGCUUAGAAGCAGCCACCAUUGAAAGAGUGCGUAAUAGCUCACUGGUCGAGUGACCCCGCGCCGAAAAUGUACCGGGGCUAAACAUAUUACCGAAACUGUGGAUGAACCUCUUUAGAGGUUCGUGGUAGGAGAGCGUUCUAAGGGCGGUGAAGUCAGACCGGAAGGACUGGUGGAGCGCUUAGAAGUGAGAAUGCCGGUAUGAGUAGCGAAAGAAGGGUGAGAAUCCCUUCCACCGAAUAUCUAAGGUUUCCUGAGGAAGGCUCGUCCGCUCAGGGUUAGUCGGGACCUAAGCCGAGGCCGAUAGGCGUAGGCGAUGGACAACAGGUAGAGAUUCCUGUACCAGUGCUAAUUGUUUAACCGAUGGGGUGACACAGAAGGAUAGGGAAUCGCACGAAUGGAAAUGUGCGUCCA
rnacentral:rRNA from 1 species